UCUUGAACUCCUGGCCUCAAGUGAUCUGCCCACCUUGGCCUCCCAGAGUGCUGGGAUUACAGGCAUGAGCCACCACACCCAGCCUCUGCCAUGCUUUUCUCAGAAUGCAAUGAUCAGCUGCUCUGUUUCUCUGGUACAGAUGCAAGGUGGCCAGAACAUGCCUGCUCUCCAGCUCCCCAGUUUCAUAUGUGUAGUUUCAGUCACAAAGAAAGACUGGUUCUCUCAGCAGAUUCCUGGAAGAAAGACUAUCUGGCUAAACAUGGUUCCCCGACCACCCCAAGUUCAAAGCUGUGGUCAAAGUCAGGAUCACGUGGUGCAAAUGUGGCUUCCUUGAAACAGCCAUCAUUUCAUAUCUCUCCUGGGCAUCCUUGUCCUCUGCAAAUUGGCUUUCUCUUACCUAUCCAGGCUCAUGGCAGAAGAUGGCUACACCAUGGACCUCAAAUUUUGUCACAUUCCUCCACCCAGCCAUGCUAGAAAUCAACCAGAACUGUUGAGCCUCAAUGCUGACUCCCUUGGAAAGAGAAUUUGGCUGUUGGAGUGCAAUGUCAUGAUCUCGGCUCACCGCAACCUCCGCCUCCUAAGUUCAAGCGAUUCUCCUGCCUCAGCCUUUUGGAGAUGGAGUCUUCCCAUGUUGCUCAUGCUGAUCUCAAACUCCUAGGCUCAAUGGAUCCUCCUGCCUUGCCUCCUAAAGUGCUGGGAUUACAGGUAUGAGCCACCUUGCCUGUUUGAGAUUCACCUUUCUAAAAGCAAAACAUCUAUC